GCUAACAAAAAUUUUCUCGCCGUGCAGAAUUCGGUGAACAGCAUUAGAGUUUCUCCACCAAAUAGCAGCUCUGGUAGAUCUGCUGCUCUACCUGCUGGAGCCUCAUGGUAUGUCAAUUACUGAUCUGUUGUCUCUUUCAAUUUGUAUGUCACUAUUUCUCAGCAUUCAAUUUGCCUUCACUAGGGGGAUUCGUUCUUCCAAUAAUCAACCCUUGUCCACAAGUAUACCAUGUUCCAAUGGACUACAUAAGCAUAAACCUAAUGCCUGUAAUGGACCGGUGACGUUUUCUACUGCAGUUGCUAGCUCUAGUCAGGUUUCUUCGUUGCAUAGUGACUCUGGAAAGAAGCUGGUUCCUAGUGAAGAAAGCAACACAAGUCUAGACAAAAGCAAACUGGAAGCCAUAGAACAUGUGAAAAAGGAUUCUAGCACAGAUAGCAGAACUAUUUUGAGUAGUUCCUCCUCGUCUGUACUUUCUGUUACUUCAACAAUAAACAGGCAACACGGUCAACCUACAUCCAAGGACAAAGAUGGAGAUGCCAGCAUGCUACCCUGUACCAACAACUCAGUUAAUCAAUACCUAAAGUCUUGUGGUCCUGAUUCAGACACAGAUUCCAAUGAUUCUGCAGAUGGAAAAAUUGAAAAUUUAUGCUCUGAAAUUUUUUCUAUGAGCAUUGAUAGACAUCAACAGUUGCAGAAUGGCUAUGCUGAGCACAUUGGAGAACCAUUGAUAUCGCAGACCUCUGGAAUAUCUGCAUUACCAGUUGAUGAGGAUUAUGCCUCAAAUCGUCUCUCUCCGUUGAAAUUGGAAACACACAUGCAAGUCUCGCAAGUUGACUCGCUUCAGAUGGAAGAUAAUCUAUUAUCUUUUGAUAAACAAAGACUCAAGGAUCCAGAGUUUGCUUCUAGCAGAAACAGUAUACCAGAUUCUUCUCACUCUACUCAUCUUUCAAGACAUUCUAAUAUUCAUUCUCCAACACAAAAUAAUUCUGACGCUUCAGUCAGGGUCAAUGUUGAUAGGCAAAUUGUACAUACAAAAGACAAUUUGAUAGUAUCAGCUUCUAGUAAUUCUGUUAUGUCAAAUAAACAUCCUGACAAUGAAUUCAGUAGUUCUUCUGAUCCAGUGAAUGAUGUUGAACAUAUUUAUUUGUUUCCAAUUAAUAAGGAUAAAAAUUCAGUUCUGGGAAGAUUCAAAGGUGAAGCAGCCUGUCACAGUCAUCCUGCUGCUGUUGAUACGGGGGAAAGCAGCAUAAUAUCAGAUAUUUUGUCGAUGGACUCUUAUUCAUGGGAUGACUCGAUACGUUCACCUCAGAACCUGGCAAAAUUGUUUGGUGAAACUGAUGAACGACAAGGGCCUUUCGGAGUACCUAGUUCGCGGAAAAUCCAGAAUAGCAAUCAAUCGAGGUUUUCUUUUGCUAGAGAGGAGGAACGUAUGAACCGAGCAUCUGACUUUGGACUAGCUAUCAAUUAUGUUGAACAAUCUCUUAAGGACCGCCCAUUUGGCAAUGAUUUCACAAACAGCAACAGCUUUCAUCUUGAAAAGUUUGGUUCUCACAAUAGGCUAUCUUUAUUUAAUGGUGUGGAGUCAGAUAAUUUUGCCAGCAGUCAUUCUUACAUCUCUUCUAACAAGGUUCCUGGUGAGUUGCGAUUUAUACGAAUUUCAAUGAAGUUUAUUCAUAGUUUGUUGUUGACUUGGCGGGGUUGUAAGUUUCUUUUUAUUUCUCGGAUAUAUUAGUAACCUUGUCAUGGAAAUUGACACUUGCGAAGUAUACAUGUUCAAUUUAGUUCUUUCUUGAUCAAAAUAUUCUUGUGCCUCAUGAGAAACCUAGGGAUAUUUUCAAUUUGUGUUUUCCAUCUGAUGGAAUUUAUUCUUAUGUAGCUUUCUAUUUUUCUCUCUCAAAACAUUUUUUCUGGGUGCCUUUGAACAGUUUCAAGAUCUCAAGUUUCUGCCCCCCCGGGUUUCUCAGUGCCUAGUAGGGUACCACCUCCCGGUUUUAUUUCUCACGAGAAGACAGGGCGGAUAUUCGACCCACACUCUGGUCCGUUAAUUUAUGCUAGGCACUUAAUAUUUUCGGACUUUUACUUCAUGUUAAAAAUCUUGUGUUUGGUUUUGAAUUAUCAUUUUAUUCUGUCUUGUGCAGGAAAUUAUAUGCCCGAUGCUUCGCUUUUGCCAAGAAAUCAGUAUCAGGCAUCCCCAAGUGGUGAUUCUAUUAGUAAUGCCGAAAUUGAGUUUAUGGAUCCUGCAAUUUUGGCAGUUGGCAAAGGGAUACUUCCUGGUAGCCUAAACAGCUCAGGCUUGGGUGCAAGAUUAAGUUAUUCUCCGCAGUAUAGUACGCUUGAAGAAUUAAGAUUCCAGUCCUUGUUACAAAGAUCAGUUCCUACUCAUCAAAACCAGAGAUUUACAGACCCGGGUGACAGUUAUUCUCCCCUUGGCGAUGCUUAUGGAGUUCCUUCUAGGGUGCUAGAGCAAACCCUAACCAACAACCUGUCCCCAUUUUCCCAGUUCACUCUUCCUCAGCCUAGAAAUGCUGUAACAUCCAAUGGCCAAUGGGAUGGGUGGAAUACGGUGCAGGGUGAGAAUGCUUUAGGUAUGGCAGAACUACUCAGAAAUGAGAGAUUGGGACUUCCUAAGUACUACAAUGGUUAUGAAGAUUCAAAUACCCGCUUGCCAAAUUCUGGAAACCUAUAUAAUCGGGCUAAUGGGAUUUAAAUUUGGUUGGAGACUUAUAUGGCACUGUUGGUACUGAUAGUGUCAAUGGUAAAAUAGGAAAAAUCUUGUGCGAAUUAGAGAAUGCCUGCUUUAAGGACUUCAAUGUUUGGCAAUCGGAUGACCUGAUCACUUGCAUUGACUAAACGGACCUAGGCAUGGAAUGCCCGAAAUAUUUGUGUUCGAGGACAUUAGAGUGAUUCACGAGUAGUCUGAUGGCACUGCUUUUAAGUUGGUGGAGGAUCAAGCCCUUUCAACAGGGAGUCCCAAACCAACAGGUAAAAUAUUGGCUCUCUUUAAUAUGGUUUAUGUUGUUGAUUCGUGAACGAGGCUGUUGUGCAUGUAUAUCACGGGAAAUAAUAAAUGGAGUAGAGUAUUAAAAAAGUAGAUUAGAGGCUUAAUGGUCACUCAUGUAUGUCAUUAGAAAGAUGAAUGUUACUAAUCUAGUUCAGAAAAGAAAGAACAGUGAGCUUGUUGUACCAUCAGACACUUCUUUCCGUAAAACAAACUUCUGUAUUAGACUCAGAUUUCUCACUAACUGUUUUUCCCCCCUUCGUCCUCUUCGUAUCUUUCGGCUCUUGGUAAGAUGAAAGAAUCGUUUUGAAGAAGAUACAAACUUUGCGAUCCUAAUCCUUUUUAUACUUGAAAAACACAAAGUAACUUCACCUUUCCCUCGUCCUAUUGUACAUCUCAAUUUCCAUGGAACUUACGGAAUAAUGGAGUUUUGAGAUGUUAAUCUGGACAUGAAUAGACUGCUACUGCUACUACUAUUAUUAUUUGCACACUGCUCAUUUUGUUCAUAGCCUUUCACCCUCAUAUUUUCAGGUAAAGGGUGCUUGAGAUUCAGGCCUAAUGUGAUGGUCAUGCAAGCAAUGUUGUGCACGAUGAAAUCAGCUUGUGAUCUUUUCUUUCGUAAUGCUAAAGCUUGUUAGUUUGUUUGAAGUUGUUCUACAGAGGUGAUCGAAAAUACUUUCUUUCACAGUGGUGAAAAUUGAUUUGUGUGUAGGCAAAAAUUCGAAAAUGGGAAGUUUAUAGUUUUGUUUUUGCUUAUUUACUUGAGAGUAUGAUCGAGAUCGUUUUCACAAAAUUCAAUGAAUUCACAUGCUGGUGAAAAAUCUGUAGCUGAAUCAACGUGGAAAUAGUGAAAUGGACGAGUACCAAAAAAUGGUUGGAGGAAAAUAUGUAAUUAUAAAAUGCCAUAAUAAAGCGUGUUUUUGAGAAUGCAG
rnacentral:lncRNA from 1 species